AUUGAACGCUGGCGGCAUGCCUUACACAUGCAAGUCGAACGGCAGCACGGGUGCUUGCACCUGGUGGCGAGUGGCGAGCGGGUGAGUAAUACAUCGGAACGUACCUUAUCGUGGGGGAUAACGCAGCGAAAGCUGUGCUAAUACCGCAUACGCCCUGAGGGGGAAAGCGGGGGAUCGCAAGACCUCGCGCGAUUAGAGCGGCCGAUGCCUGAUUAGCUUGUUGGUGGGGUAAAAGCCCACCAAGGCGACGAUCAGUAGCUGGUCUGAGAGGACGGUCAGCCACACCGGGACUGAGACACGGCCCAGACUCCUACGGGAGGCAGCAGUGGGGAAUUUUGGACAAUGGGGGCAACCCUGAUCCAGCAAUGCCGCGUGAGUGAAGAAGGCCUUCGGGUUGUAAAGCUCUUUUGUCAGGGAAGAAACACCGGCUCUAACACAGUCCGGGAAUGACGGUACCUGAAGAAUAAGCACCGGCUAACUACGUGCCAGCCGCCGCCGUAA
rnacentral:rRNA from 1 species